rnacentral:rRNA from 1 species
UACGUAGGGUGCAAGCGUUGUCCGGAAUUAUUUGGGCGUAAAAGAGCUCGUAGGCGGUCUGUCGCGUCUGCUGUGAAAACUCAGGGCUUAACCCUGAGCUUGCAGUGGGUACGGGCAGACUAGAGUGCGGUAGGGGGAGACCGGAAUUCCUGGUGUAGCGGUGAAAAUGCGCAGAUAUCAGGAGGAACACCGGUGGCGAAGGGCGGGGUCUCUGGGGCCGUAAACUGACGCUGGAGGAGCGAAA